AAAGUAAUGAAGAAGGAGAGAGAAAUAUCUGCAGCGUGUCUACACUACUUGUGAAGCAUCCCUCCUGCAGUGGGGGGAAGGAGGUGUCUUAAACCUGGGUCCCUGUUCCUCUGUCCAUAAACAUAUUUCUGAGAGCACCACUCACCACUCUCUACUCUCAUGGGCAAUUGGAUUUCAAGAGUGCAAGAGAACAUCCAUAAUUUCCACCAGGUUCCAAAUGCUAACAUGAUGCCAACUGGACUCCUCUGGGCAGAGGACCCCACCAAUGUAUCCUGGAGCCCCGCUUCCCCAGGGCCGUGCCUCACUAGAGGAAGAGAGAGACAGGCUGGAAGCAUGGAUUGACCUGCCAAUGCUCAUGUUCAGUGGAGAAGCAGUUACAGAAGCCAGACCUUCCACCAGCACCACACAAUGACCUUGGGUCCAUACUCCCAGAGGGAUAAAGAAUAGGAAAGCUAUCAGGGGAGAGGAUAGGAUACAGAGUUCUGGUGGUGGGAAUUGUGUGGAGUU